rnacentral:rRNA from 1 species
CAGCAGCCGCGGUAAUACGUAGGGUGCGAGCGUUAAUCGGAAUUACUGGGCGUAAAGCGUGCGCAGGCGGUUUUGUAAGACAGGCGUGAAAUCCCCGGGCUCAACCUGGAAUGGCGCUUGUGACUGCAAAGCUAGAGUGCGGCAGAGGGGGAUGGAAUUCCGCGUGUAGCAGUGAAAUGCGUAGAUAUGCGGAGGAACACCGAUGGCGAAGGCAAUCCCCUGGGCCUGCACUGACGCUCAUGCACGAAAGCGUGGGGAGCAAACAGGAUUAGAUACCCCCGUAGUCCCUGUCUCUACACAU